rnacentral:tRNA from 3 species
GGGCGCGUAGCUCAGCGGGAGAGCGUUCCGUUCACACCGGAGAGGUCGCUGGUUCAAUCCCAGCCGCGCCCACCA